AAAAAUCUACAAAUUAAGGAGUAACACUUUUGCGAAGUCACGUUCUUUCAAAGGGAAUGUUGUUAUGCGCCAAUUGGUUUGUGAUAGAUUUUCCACAGUAGGGGUAGCGGCAUUGACAUCAAACACCACAACUUGUUAGCGCAUGUAGUUCAUAGAGCCUCUUCAAUUUCAUCCAAAGAUCUUUCUAACAUUCUUUGUGUUGAGAUUGUCUUCAAAUUUGUGGUUUGGAAGAACAGGGAAAUCAUGACACGAUUUUGGUAUCGUGACGCGAUUUCGGAUGCCGUGAGUUAGGGUUGCAGGGGUGCAAAUCGUGGCACGAUUUUGGGAAAAUCGUGACACGAUCAAGAAACUUGCUCGUUAAAUAUCCUUGAUAAGGACUGGUCGUUCCUUGGGACGGACGCAAAUCGUGACACGAUUGGAACAGAGGAAGACUAGUACUUAAGUGUUCUUGUGCAGAUUUGAAGUAAAAGAGGUUGGAAGAGAGAGACUUGGGAAAUCAAAGGGAAAGCUCUAGGGUUUAGGGUUCUUUGAUUAGAGUACCUCUUGGGUUGAAAACAUGGGAAACACCUUGUAGAGAGAAUCAUUGAGUGUCUUGGUGAGAUUGGGAAAGGGGUAGAAAUUAGGGUUUGUUCAUAGUGAACAUUGUCAAGCUAAUUUCUUGUAACCUCUUGUAGUCCUUUUGUAAAGAACUCAUUUGAUAGUGGAUUGGAGAGUACAAACUCUCCUCCAGAGUAGGUCAAGUUUGGACCAAACUGGGUGACCAAUCUCUUUGUGUUUAUUGUUUUCAUCUUCCCUCUCCUUGUUUAUCUUGUGAUUGUUGCUUUGUUUCACACUUGUUUCCUAGAUUGGAUCUAGGUGGUGUUUUGUUGUUUCUUGCUUGCUCAAUAAGCUUUGAUUGGUGGUUACCACUCUCCGUCACUCCACACAUCAUUAUUCUCUGUAUUGGUGUGGUUCGAUCCGGGUCUUGGAGGUCCGGGGAUUCACAACAAUUGGCGCCCACCGUGGGGCAAGGGUAGUGAUUUGGUUUAGUGUGUACCAUGGGUUCAAAGUGGGAUAUUGAGAUGUUCACCGGGAUCAACGAUUUUGGGUUGUGGAAGGUGAAGAUGCAAGCGGUGUUGAUUCAACAAAAGUGUGAGAAAGCUUUGAAGGGUGAAGGUGGUUUGCCGGACACCAUGUCACAAGAGGAGAAGACCGAGAUGGUGGACAAGGCGAGGAGCGCCAUUGUCUUGUGCCUCGGGGAUAAAGUUUUGAGGGAUGUCGCGAAGGAACCAACCGCGGCAUCGAUAUGGUCUAAGUUGGAAUCAUUGUAUAUGACCAAGUCGUUGGCUCAUAGGCAAUUCCUUAAGCAACAACUCUACUCAUUCAAGAUGGUGGAGUCAAAGACCGUGAUGGAGCAAUUGGCGGAGUUCAACAAGAUCCUUGACGAUUUGGAGAACAUUGAGGUGCAACUUGAGGACGAAGACAAGGCUAUACUCUUGUUGUGCGCACUACCGAGGUCAUUUGAAUCCUUUAAGGAUACCAUGCUCUAUGGCAAAGAAGGCACUGUCACCUUGGAAGAAGUUCAAGCGGCUUUAAGAACCAAGGAGUUGACCAAGUCCAAAGACUUGAGAGCGGAUGAAAACAGUGAAGGCCUUAGUGUGUCAAAAGGAAAUGGUGGAGGUAGAGGCAGCCGGGGAAGCUCAAAGAGCGGAAACAAGGACAAGUAUAAGUGCUUUAAGUGUCACAAGUUGGGACACUUCAAGAGGGAUUGUCCGGAGGAAGAUGAUAGCUCCGCGCAAGUUGUGUCCGAGGAGUAUGGAGAUGCGGGUGCUUUGAUGGUGAGUUGGGAGGAAGGUGAAGGUGAGGGUUCUCACCUUGGUAUUGAUUCCUUGUAGACGGAGUGGUUCGUCUGGAGAGACGUUAAACACUCAACGUCAGCCUGGAGAGGCGGUGGUGAGAAUACUCAUGGUUAGUCUGGAGAGGCGGUGGUAACAAUACUCGUGAUCAACCUUUGAGGUGGAGUGGCAAGGCGGAAGCAUAGUGGAAGUACCCAUUUGGAAGUUGAGGUAGAGAAAGCUCAACUUGAGGUGGAGUUGGUGACUCCAAGAAUGGUACGGCUAUGGAGGCUUUGGGAGUUUAUGCUCUAGUGGUGAGCAUGUGGAUUCUUCAUGAGGACAGAUGGUAUUCCGGGGUUUGAAGAAUGUAUGGAGUGGCUUGUGUGAUUGCCUAAAAGGCCAAGGGUGAUCGGAUGCAAGGUGAUCUUCAAGGAGGCGGGAGACGUUCCGUGGUUGAAGAUGGUUUGGUGAAAAAUGAAGACUUGUGGAGCAACUUGGUGUAGAGUUGGAUGCAAGGGAAAAGAAGGGGGUGGUUGAUGGUUAAAGUGGCAUCAUCACCAAAUUAGAAGUCAAGGUGGAGAAAUGUUGAGAUUGUCUUUAAAUUUGUGGUUUGGAAGAACAGGGAAAUCGUGACACGAUUUUGGUAUCGUGACGCGAUUUAGGAUGCCGUGAGUUAGGGUUGCAGGGGUGCAAAUCGUGGCACGAUUUUGGGAAAAUCAUGACACGAUCAAGAAACUUGCUCGUUAAGUAUCCUUGAUAAGGACUGGUCGUUCCUUGGGACGGACGCAAAUCGUGACACGAUUGGGAAAAUCGUGACACGAUUGGAACAGAGGAAGACUAGUACUUAAGUGUUCUUGUGCAGAUUUGAAGUAAAAGAGGUUGGAAGAGAGAGACUUGGGAAAUCAAAGGGAAAGCUCUAGGGUUUAGGGUUCUUUGAUUAGAGUACCUCUUGGGUUGAAAACAUGGGAAACAC
rnacentral:lncRNA from 1 species